GACGAACCGUGCAAACGUUGUUCGGAAUCACUGGGCUUAAAGGGCGCGUAGGCGGGCUCGCCAGUCAGGGGUGAAAGCCCACGGCUCAACCGUGGAAGUGCCUUUGAUACUGCGGGCCUCGAGGGAGGUAGGGGCGUGCGGAACUUCCGGUGGAGCGGUGAAAUGCGUAGAUAUCGGAAGGAACACCGGUGGCGAAAGCGGCGCGCUGGACCUCUUCUGACGCUGAGGCGCGAAAGCCAGGGGAGCGAACGGG
rnacentral:rRNA from 1 species